AACCCGGUUUUUCUCAAGUAAUCUAUAAUUCCUCUCUUUUUUUCUUCCUUUUUCUAGCUAGCGAACUCUUUGAUCUCUCUUCAACACAGACACCAUUGACAUCGAUCACCACAUGAAUCACACCUUUUGGGUCAUUGAUUUUGGGUCAUUGAUCACAACACUACAACGUCACCUUCGUUGUUCAGGAGAAGGAGCUAAGGUGUUGUUCACCGUUCUUGGAACGCUCAUCAAUACCAGGGGAAGAUGCUGCUACUGAUUUGAGAUCUAAUGAAUGGAAGGUUGUUCCUCAUAUAUGAAGAUAAUCUGCGGAUAAGUACGGUGGCAGAGUUGCUGUGCUUGAUCCCUUUCGUAUGGUUUCGUUUUCAUGUGUUUGUAAAGUGUUGGAAUGUUUCUACCAUGGCAAGUUAAAAGAAAAGAACGCCUUUCACAAAGACUUUAAAGCAAUAGUCUAAUGAAAAUACUCUGUUUUAUUUUCAA